CCGGCGAUUUCCGAAUGGGGAAACCCAGUGUGAUUCGUCACACUAUCAUUAACUGAAUCCAUAGGUUAAUGAGGCGAACCGGGGGAACUGAAACAUCUAAGUACCCCGAGGAAAAGAAAUCAACCGAGAUUCCCCCAGUAGCGGCGAGCGAACGGGGAGGAGCCCAGAGCCUGAAUCAGCAUGUGUGUUAGUGGAAGCGUCUGGAAAGGCGCGCGAUACAGGGUGACAGCCCCGUACACAAAAGCGCAUGUGCUGUGAGCUCGAUGAGUAGGGCGGGACACGUGGUAUCCUGUCUGAAUAUGGGGGGACCAUCCUCCAAGGCUAAAUACUCCUGACUGACCGAUAGUGAACCAGUACCGUGAGGGAAAGGCGAAAAGAACCCCGGCGAGGGGAGUGAAAAAGAACCUGAAACCGUGUACGUACAAGCAGUGGGAGCACAGGUUUACCUGUGUGACUGCGUACCUUUUGUAUAAUGGGUCAGCGACUUAUAUUCUGUAGCAAGGUUAACCGAAUAGGGGAGCCGGAGGGAAACCGAGUCUUAAU
rnacentral:rRNA from 1 species